CACACCCGGAGGGGGUAGCAUUGGAUAUAGAACCAUCUCAAAUCACUUUUGUGCAUGCCAUGUGGACACACACAACUUUUGGGGCCAUUCCCUAGGUCCGAUGCUCGAUUUCUGACGAAACCCUAGUUCUGUUGACCGCGCCGUCUACCCCUUUGACUGCGUCCCAUCGGGGUUCCCCCGGUGGGCGUAUGCCUGCGUUUGAGCUUGGUUAGGUCAUAGGUACAUGUGGAAACAAGUACCAUCCCCUAUGAUCCCAAGGUUCUCUCCGGUUCACCUCCGAGGGAGUUCCCCCCUAUACACGCAGAAUCUGCCUAAGUGUAGGAACCCCAUGUCCGAGAAGCCGGGCACACCCGGAGGGGGUAGCAUUGGAUAUAGAACCAUCUCAAAUCACUUUUGUGCAUGCCAUGUGGACACACACAACUUUUGGGGCCAUUCCCUAGGUCCGAUGCUCGAUUUCUGACGAAACCCUAGUUCUGUUGACCGCGCCGUCUACCCCUUUGACUGCGUCCCAUCGGGGUUCCCCCGGUGGGCGUAUGCCUGCGUUUGAGCUUGGUUAGGUCAUAGGUACAUGUGGAAACAAGUACCAUCCCCUAUGAUCCCAAGGUUCUCUCCGGUUCACCUCCGAGGGAGUUCCCCCCUAUACACGCAGAAUCUGCCUAAGUGUAGGAACCCCAUGUCCGAGAAGCCGGGCACACCCGGAGGGGGUAGCAUUGGAUAUAGAACCAUCUCAAAUCACUUUUGUGCAUGCCAUGUGGACACACACAACUUUUGGGGCCAUUCCCUAGGUCCGAUGCUCGAUUUCUGACGAAACCCUAGUUCUGUUGACCGCGCCGUCUACCCCUUUGACUGCGUCCCAUCGGGGUUCCCC